GGAUAGCUCAGUCGGUAGAGCAUGAGGCUCUUUAUCUCAGGGUUGUGGGUUCGGGUCCCAUGUUGGGCA
rnacentral:tRNA from 1 species